GGUCUCAGCGUGAAAGCGACCAGCUGGCCCUUGUUCACACCUGCCCCAGGCACUGACCAGCCGACCACACUUGAUGUCCUGACCUAUAUCCAAGGUUCAGCAGUAAAAACCUAUUGAAAUGUGAGAUUACCAAACUGAAGCAAUCAGUCUGAAAUGAUUAAGGAAGAUGACUAUUCUUUUCUUCAGAUGACCAAAAGUCAUCUUGUCCAGAGUUCCUUAUCUUCAAGGCGCUAUUUCACAAGUUUCUUUCUAAGCUCUGAAUUGCCCGUAUUUGGCCAGGGAUCACCUCAGUGGACAGUUAAUGAAAGAGCAGAGGGAACUUGAAG